CAGCAGCCGCGGUAAUGCAGAGGAUGCAAGCGUUAUCCGGAAUGAUUGGGUGUAAAGGGAGCGCAGGCGGGCAUGUAAGUCUUUCUUAAAAGUGCGGGGCUCAACCCCGUGAUGGGAAAGAAACUACAUGUCUUGAGUACAGGAGAGGAAAGCGGAAUUCCCAGUGUAGCGGUGAAAUGCGUAGAUAUUGGGAGGAACACCAGUGGCGAAGGCGGCUUUCUGGACUGCAACUGACGCUGAGGCUCGAAAGCCAGGGGAGCGAACGGGAUUAGAUACCCCAGUAGUCCCUGUCUCUUAUAAA
rnacentral:rRNA from 1 species